AGAGGCCACACCCGUUCCCAUACCGAACACGGAAGUUAAGCUCUUCAGCGCCGAUGGUAGUUGGGGGUUUCCCCCUGCGAGAGUAGGACGCCGCCAGGC
rnacentral:rRNA from 1 species